GUGGGGAAUCUUGCGCAAUGGGCGAAAGCCUGACGCAGCCAUGCCGCGUGAAUGAUGAAGGUCUUAGGAUUGUAAAAUUCUUUCACCGGGGACGAUAAUGACGGUACCCGGAGAAGAAGCCCCGGCUAACUUCGUGCCAGCAGCCGCGGUAAUACGAAGGGGGCUAGCGUUGCUCGGAAUUCCUGGGCGUAAAGGGCGCGUAGGCGGACAGUUUAGUCAGAGGUGAAAGCCCAGGGAUCAACAUUGGAAUUGCCUUUGAUACUGGCUGUCUUGAGUACGGGAGAGGUGAGUGGAACUCCGAGUGUAGAGGUGAAAGUCGUAGAUAUUCGGAAGAACACCAGUGGCGAAGGCGACUCACUGGCCCGUUACUGACGCUGAGGCGCGAAAGCGUGGGGAGCAAACAGGAUUAGAAACCCCUGUAGUCC
rnacentral:rRNA from 1 species